UACGGAGGGUGCAAGCGUUGUCCGGAUUGACUGGGCGUAAAGGGCGCGUAGGCGGUUCGUACAGUCAGACGUGAAAUUCCUGGGCUCAACCUGGGGGCUGCGUUUGAUACGUGCGGACUUGAGUGCGGAAGAGGGUCGUGGAAUUCCCAGUGUAGAGGUGAAAUUCGUAGAUAUUGGGAAGAACACCGGUGGCGAAGGCGGCGACCUGGUCCGAUACUGACGCUGAGGCGCGAAAGCGUGGGGAGCAAACAGG
rnacentral:rRNA from 1 species